GGGUGGUGGCGGGCCAUCAGGCUUCCCCCCAUCCUCUCCCUUCGUGUCAGGGUCGAGCUGAGCCACCAUGAGGGCUUCAACCUGCUCCAGGGUCUCAGCCUGGAGUCUCUUCCCCAGGUGUCUUUUGGCCCAGAUGGAGGCAACUUGAAAGGGGGCAAGCCAAUCAAGUUUGGGCAGUGCAGACAAGACGCGUAGCUGGGACGCUGCCCUGUGGCCUGGUAGCGUUGGCGGGAGCGGUACUGGGCUGAGCGGGGUCUGGGCCUUUCUCCCCGGGGCCGUCUAUAGCGGUCACGCCGUGUGCUCGAGCUGUGAGGAGCAAGUGAAGCAGAGGAGUGAGCAGGCUGAGAAUUUAAAGGU